UACGUAGGGUGCAAGCGUUGUCCGGAAUUAUUGGGCGUAAAGGGCUCGUAGGCGGUCCAUCGCGUCGGGAGUGAAAAGCUGGGGCUUAACCCCAGUCCUGCUUCCGAUACGGGUGGACUAGAGGUAGGCAGGGGAGAACGGAAUUCCUGGUGUAGCGGUGAAAUGCGCAGAUAUCAGGAGGAACACCGGUGGCGAAGGCGGGUUGCUGGGCUGAUACUGACGCUGAGGCGCGAAAGCCAGGGGAGCGAACGGG
rnacentral:rRNA from 1 species